UUGAACGCUGGCGGCAGGCCUAACACAUGCAAGUCGAACGGUAACAGGAAGCAGCUUGCUGCUUYGCUGACGAGUGGCGGACGGGUGAGUAAUGUCUGGGAAACUGCCUGAUGGAGGGGGAUAACUACUGGAAACGGUGGCUAAUACCGCAUAACGUCGCAAGACCAAAGAGGGGGACCUUCGGGCCUCUUGCCAUCAGAUGUGCCCAGAUGGGAUUAGCUDGUUGGUGAGGUAACGGCUCACCAAGGCGACGAUCCCUAGCUGGUCUGAGAGGAUGACCAGCCACACUGGAACUGAGACACGGUCCAGACUCCUACGGGAGGCAGCAGUGGGGAAUAUUGCACAAUGGGCGCAAGCCUGAUGCAGCCAUGCCGCGUGUAUGAAGAAGGCCUUCGGGUUGUAAAGUACUUUCAGCGGGGAGGAAGGUGUUGUGGUUAAUAACCGCAGCAAUUGACGUUACCCGCAGAAGAAGCACCGGCUAACUCCGU
rnacentral:rRNA from 1 species